rfam:Triticum aestivum genome assembly, contig: Triticum_aestivum_CS42_TGACv1_scaffold_329190_4BS
AUUGCCCUCGAAUAAUUGGAUGCAGAUUCACAUUCUCGUUCGGUUCAGACAGGGGCAUAUACAAAUCUGAAUCCUUUCUUUAUUUAUAUAUGAAGAGGAUGCUAGUUUUUGUAGAUCCUUUCUUAGAUGGAUUCAUACAGCU